rnacentral:rRNA from 1 species
GAUGAACGCUGGCGGCGUGCCUAAUACAUGCAAGUCGAGCGAACAGACGAGGAGCUUGCUCCUCUGACGUUAGCGGCGGACGGGUGAGUAACACGUGGAUAACCUACCUAUAAGACUGGGAUAACUUCGGGAAACCGGAGCUAAUACCGGAUAAUAUAUUGAACCGCAUGGUUCAAUAGUGAAAGACGGUUUUGCUGUCACUUAUAGAUGGAUCCGCGCCGCAUUAGCUAGUUGGUAAGGUAACGGCUUACCAAGGCAACGAUGCGUAGCCGACCUGAGAGGGUGAUCGGCCACACUGGAACUGAGACACGGUCCAGACUCCUACGGGAGGCAGCAGUAGGGAAUCUUCCGCAAUGGGCGAAAGCCUGACGGAGCAACGCCGCGUGAGUGAUGAAGGUCUUCGGAUCGUAAAACUCUGUUAUUAGGGAAGAACAAAUGUGUAAGUGACUAUGCACGUCUUGACGGUACCUAAUCAGAAAGCCACGGCUAACUACGUG